rnacentral:snoRNA from 1 species
UGGUUUCCUGUGAGGUGGAUGCAGCCUACUCCAUCUCCCUUCAGAGGAGCCCAGAGUAGAGGGGCUGGACCUCCUUCCCACGGGAGAGGCAUUUGAGAAAAGAGCCUCACCUGCCCAGGAGUGGCGCUGCACACAC